CUGCCUGUAAGACUGGGAUAACUCCGGGAAACCGGGGCUAAUACCGGAUGGUUGUUUGAACCGCAUGGUUCAGACAUAAAAGGUGGCUUCGGCUACCACUUACAGAUGGACCCGCGGCGCAUUAGCUAGUUGGUGAGGUAACGGCUCACCAAGGCGACGAUGCGUAGCCGACCUGAGAGGGUGAUCGGCCACACUGGGACUGAGACACGGCCCAGACUCCUACGGGAGGCAGCAGUAGGGAAUCUUCCGCAAUGGACGAAAGUCUGACGGAGCAACGCCGCGUGAGUGAUGAAGGUUUUCGGAUCGUAAAGCUCUGUUGUUAGGGAAGAACAAGUGCCGUUCAAAUAGGGCGGCACCUUGACGGUACCUAACCAGAAAGCCACGGCUAACUACGUGCCAGCAGCCGCGGUAAUACGUAGGUGGCAAGCGUUGUCCGGAAUUAUUGGGCGUAAAGGGCUCGCAGGCGGUUUCUUAAGUCUGAUGUGAAAGCCCCCGGCUCAACCGGGGAGGGUCAUUGGAAACUGGGGAACUUGAGUGCAGAAGAGGAGAGUGGAAUUCCACGUGUAGCGGUGAAAUGCGUAGAGAUGUGGAGGAACACCAGUGGCGAAGGCGACUCUCUGGUCUGUAACUGACGCUGAGGAGCGAAAGCGUGGGGAGCGAACAGGAUUAGAUACCCUGGUAGUCCACGCCGUAAACGAUGAGUGCUAAGUGUUAGGGGGUUUCCGCCCCUUAGUGCUGCAGCUAACGCAUUAAGCACUCCGCCUGGGGAGUACGGUCGCAAGACUGAAACUCAAAGGAAUUGACGGGGGCCCGCACAAGCGGUGGAGCAUGUGGUUUAAUUCGAAGCAACGCGAAGAACCUUACCAGGUCUUGACAUCCUCUGACAAUCCUAGAGAUAGGACGUCCCCUUCGGGGGCAGAGUGACAGGUGGUGCAUGGUUGUCGUCAGCUCGUGUCGUGAGAUGUUGGGUUAAGUCCCGCAACGAGCGCAACCCUUGAUCUUAGUUGCCAGCAUUCAGUUGGGCACUCUAAGGUGACUGCCGGUGACAAACCGGAGGAAGGUGGGGAUGACGUCAAAUCAUCAUGCCCCUUAUGACCUGGGCUACACACGUGCUACAAUGGACAGAACAAAGGGCAGCGAAACCGCGAGGUUAAGCCAAUCCCACAAAUCUGUUCUCAGUUCGGAUCGCAGUCUGCAACUCGACUGCGUGAAGCUGGAAUCGCUAGUAAUCGCGGAUCAGCAUGCCG
rnacentral:rRNA from 2 species